rnacentral:lncRNA from 1 species
CAAUGUUUGAACCUUGUUGACUAAUCUCGCUAACAUUGAACUUGGUAAAAUGACCCUACCUGCCAACGCGCGGAUAGAUAGGGCGGGCGAAGCCCGAAGGGGAUGGAUGUCUGAGCGGUUGAAAGAGUCCGUCUUGAAAACCGAAGUAUUGAUAGGAAUACCGGGGGUUCGAAUCCCUCUCCUCCGCGAGGUCAUAAGUUCUCUCUUGCGUUAUCUUUAGAUAAGAACGAAUCGGAUCAACUCGACUGAUAUGAUAGAUUGAAUGGUAGCUUGUUUUAUGAUUUAGUUAGGACUCUGUCUCCCUUUCGUGAUCUUCCGCCCUCCGGUUGGGGAAGGUCCGGAAAGCCCUCACUCCCCCUUUUUCAAAAAGAAGCCCCGCUCAACAAGGGGCCCUCUCUGAUAAGGAAGAAAACGAAAGAAUCUCAAUUUUACGAAAAAUCCGGUCCGAUGGUUGUUCU